GACGAACGCUGGCGGCGUGCCUAAUACAUGCAAGUAGAACGCUGAAGGAGGAGCUUGCUUCUCCGGAUGAGUUGCGAACGGGUGAGUAACGCGUAGGUAACCUGCCUGGUAGCGGGGGAUAACUAUUGGAAACGAUAGCUAAUACCGCAUAAGAGUAGAUGUUGCAUGACAUUUGCUUAAAAGGUGCAAUUGCAUCACUACCAGAUGGACCUGCGUUGUAUUAGCUAGUUGGUGGGGUAACGGCUCACCAAGGCGACGAUACAUAGCCGACCUGAGAGGGUGAUCGGCCACACUGGGACUGAGACACGGCCCAGACUCCUACGGGAGGCAGCAGUAGGGAAUCUUCGGCAAUGGACGGAAGUCUGACCGAGCAACGCCGCGUGAGUGAAGAAGGUUUUCGGAUCGUAAAGCUCUGUUGUAAGAGAAGAACGAGUGUGAGAGUGGAAAGUUCACAGAGUGACG
rnacentral:rRNA from 1 species